AUUGAACGCUGGCGGCAGGCUUAACACAUGCAAGUCGAGCGAGCGGCGGACGGGUGAGUAAUGUCUGGGAAACUGCCUGAUGGAGGGGGGUAACUACUGGAAACGGUAGCUAAUACCGCAUACCAUCAGAUGUGCACAGAUGGGAUUAGCUAGUAGGUGGGGUAAGGGCUCACCUAGGAGACGAUCCCUAGCUGGUAUGAGAGGAUGACCAGCCACACUGUAACUGAGACCCGUUCCAGACUCCUACGGGAGGCAGCAGUGGGGAAUAUUGCACAAGUGGCGCAAGCCUGAUGCAGACAUGCCGCAUGUGUGAAGAAUGCCUUCGGGUUGUAAAGCACGUUCAGCGAGGAGGCGUUACUCGCAGAAGAAGCACCGGCUAACUCCGUGCCAGCAGCCGCGGUAAUUC
rnacentral:rRNA from 1 species